rnacentral:rRNA from 1 species
GUAGGGAAUAUUGCGCAAUGGACGAAAGUCUGACGCAGCGACGCCGCGUGAGUGAUGAAGGCCUUAGGGUCGUAAAGCUCUGUUGAAUGGGAAGAAAAAAAUGACGGUACCAUUCGAGGAAGGACCGGCUAACUUCGUGCCAGCAGCCGCGGUAAUACGAGGGGUCCUAGCGUUGUUCGGAAUCAUUGGGCGUAAAGGGUGUGUAGGUGGCCAUGUAAGUCAGGUGUGAAAGCCGCGGGCUCAACCCGGGAAGUGCACUUGAUACUGCGUGGCUUGAGUACCGAAGAGGGUAGUGGAAUUCCGGGUGUAGUGGUGAAAUACGUAGAUAUCUGGAGGAACACCGGUGGCGAAGGCGGCUACCUGGUCGAGUACUGACACUGAGACACGAAAGCAUGGGGAUCAAACAGGAUUAGAAACCCGGGUAGUCC